ensembl:lncRNA
UACCAGGAGGAGCUCUUCUUUCUGAGGGUGAACAAGAUCCUCUGAUUCCUCCACCUCGCGGUGCCUUUUGGAGAGUGACUUCUUUGUUGCUGCUGGCUGAAUGAUUGCUCAUUCAUUCCUCCAUGAUGGGCCGGGCCUUGGAGGACUCAGCCCAGCUGUUCUGCAUGUGCUCUUUGGUGGAAGCCCAGAAGAAGUCAUGAUGAAAAUAUCAAGGACUGUGCUGACCUCGAUAUCCGCAAGACAGUCAAAGUGGAACUUGGAAGAAGCUCAAGACGGGUUAAACAGUUACGAAGGGGCUUAAAAGAGACGCUGAUCUGGCCUUUGCUAACUGAGAGGAAAGACACAAUUCCCCUCCUCUUUCCAAGAGCAUGUGAUGUACAGCGCACACCACAGGAGCAGGACAGCAAAGAGUGGAGAUCUAGUCGAGUGUUUUGCUCUCAGUGAGGAGGAACAAGCAGUUUAUCACAUGCAGAGCGGAGAGUGCGGGUCGGGAUGUCGGGUUGGACCAGGUCCUGGAUGUAAGCUGGACCCCAUCCAUUCACAGCACGGUACGUGAGCACCAUGUUUAGAGGACUUAGGAAGGUUAAAGAGCAGUGGAGCUGCUGCAUUGUGGAUGAGCUGCAGAGGUGGAAUGGUGGUAGCAGGAGACCUGCAGGAGAGAGUUACAGUAGUCCAGGAGGGAGACGACAAGAGCCUGAAUCAGUACCUUCUGAGUGAGAAGAGGACGUGUUCUCCUGAUGUUGUAGAGCGAGUAUCUACAGGACCGUGUUGUCAGUGAUGUUGGGAGUCAGGGAGAGUCGGCUGUCGAG